GACAAACGCUGGCGGCAUGCCUAACACAUGCAAGUCGAACGGACAGAACAGGGAAGCUCUUCGGAGUGGAACUGGAAAGUUAGUGGCGGAUGGGUGAGUAACGCGUGGACAACCUACCUUGUAAAGGGGAAUAACCUCGAGAAAUCGAAGCUAAUACCCCAUAAUAACCUUGAAUCGCAUGAAUUGAGGAGGAAAGGCGGCCUUAGAGCUGUCGAUAGAAGAUGGGUCCGCGUCUGAUUAGCUAGUUGGUGAGGUAAAGGCUCACCAAGGCGACGAUCAGUAGCCGGCCUGAGAGGGUGAACGGCCACAUUGGGACUGAGACACGGCCCAAACUCCUACGGGAGGCAGCAGUGGGGAAUCUUCCGCAAUGGGCGCAAGCCUGACGGAGCAAUGCCGCGUGAGUGAAGAAGGCCUUCGGGUUGUAAAACUCUGUCCUAGACGAAGAGAGAGUAUUGUAGUAACUGACAAUACUAGGACGGUAGACUAGGAGGAGGCCCCGGCUAACUAUGUGCCAGCAGCCGCGGUAAAACAUAGGGGGCAAGCGUUGUCCGGAAUCACUGGGCGUAAAGGGCGCGCAGGCGGUAAAUUAAGUCAGGUGUGAAAGUUCGGGGCUCAACCCCGUGAUUGCACCUGAUACUGAUAAACUAGAGUGUUGGAGAGGUAAGUGGAAUUCCUAGUGUAGCGGUGGAAUGCGUAGAUAUUAGGAGGAACACCAGUGGCGAAGGCGACUUACUGGCCAAUAACUGACGCUGAGGCGCGAAAGCGUGGGGAGCAAACAGG
rnacentral:rRNA from 1 species